AGAGCGAACGCUGGCGGCAGGCCUAACACAUGCAAGUCGAGCGCCCGUAGCAAUACGGGAGCGGCAGACGGGAUAGUAACACGUGGGAACGCGCCCUUCGGUUCGGAAUAACUCAGGGAAACUUGAGCUAAUACCGGAUACGCCCUUACGGGGAAAGAUUUAUUGCCGAAGGAACGGCCCGCGUCCGAUUAGCUAGUUGGUGAGGUAAUGGCUCACCAAGGCGACGAUCGGUAGCUGGUCUGAGAGGAUGACCAGCAUCACUGGGACUGAGACACGGCCCAGACUCCUACGGGAGGCAGCAGUGGGGAAUAUUGGACAAUGGGCGCAAGCCUGAUCCAGCCAUGCCGCGUGGAUGAUGAAGGCCUUAGGGUUGUAAAGUCCUUUUAACGGGAGAUAAUGACGGUACCCGUAGAAUAAGCCCCGGCUAACUUCGUGCCAGCAGCCGC
rnacentral:rRNA from 1 species